UCUCCUGGGUUCAAGUGAUUCUCCUGCCUCAUUCUCCUGAGCAGCUAGGGUUACAGGACCCAAGAAUGGAUCAUAAUACCAUGCACCACAAUAAUUCCCACAUUAUUUAAGAGAUGCACAUAAAAGGGGGAGAAAUAUUUUUAUCAUGGAUUCUCAUAGAGUAACUCAUGAGACCCCAUAGGGGGUAAAAUCAGUGUUAUUAUUUCUCCUUGAAGCCAGUGGAAUCUCUUUACUAUAUGCCAGUGUUUAAAGUUCAGUAUAAUGAAUGUUAGAGCUUCUGUUUUUAUAUGUUUAUUAGAUUUUAUCGACAAAGUACCAACCCAGAAGAAGACAACCUUGGAGACUGAAGAGGAAUAUUUUUAAAUGUAGAGAUUCUCAAAGUCCAUUCCACAGAAUAUCGGUUCCUUGUUGUUUUAUUAGGUGCUCCAUAGCAAAGGAGGGUUCCACAGACCAAUAUGUUUAGAAAGUGCUCAUUAAAGGAAAGUUGGUUGUGUUUUUAAUUGCAAGACUUAACAGAACUUUUAAUAUCACACUGUAAACUCUGAAAUUUUAAGAGGAGAAAAAAAUGUAAAAUGAAAUUGGCCACAGAAUGCUUUUCAAGGACUAGGGUUCCACAGAGCAAACUUUGGGAAAUGGUGUGAGAUUCUGACAGCUUUGGCACUAACCAGGUGUAUGACUUGGGGUUAGGUGACUAAUUGUUCAUCACUGUGUGUCAGUUUAAUCAGGUAAUUAAGUAACUAAUGUGAACAAAUUAUUUUUUUAUACUAGCUUUUGCCAGUAACUAUUAGAAGCAGAUGUAGAAGACCUGUGUAAUCUUGGGUUCAGACAAGCGUUCUUUUCAAUCUUCCUAUAUUGCUUUAGAGUAGCAAGCAUGGUGACAUCAUAUGGUACUAAAAUAUUAUUACCAUGUAACCACAAGCCUCACGUUUCUUCACUUGAAGCACAACUAAAAAAUAAAAACUUUUAAGAAAAGUGA